CAGGGCUUCAGUUGAGCUGAGAGGCGGGAGCUCGGACAGCCUUGGGCCCCUCGCCAGUCCCCACCUGGCACUUGUCUGUGUCACUGUCAGGAUUUGUCUGACUCCGCGUUCCCUCGCAGGGGUGUGUUGGGGGGAGUCCUCUUUGCAACCCUCAAAAUGGUUAUCAAAGUGUUUGUUGCCACAUCAUCUGGGUCCAUAGCGAUUAGGAAGAAACAGCAAGAAGUAGUGGGCUUUUUGGAAGCUAAUAAAAUCGAUUUUAAGGAGUUCGAUAUUGCUGGAGAUGAAGACAAUCGGAGGUGGAUGAGAGAGAACGUUCCUGGAGAGAAGAAACCUCAAAAUGGGAUUCCUCUGCCCCCACAGAUAUUCAACGAAGAGCAGUACUGUGGGGAUUUUGACUCUUUCUUCUCUGCAAAAGAAGAGAAUAUUAUUUAUUCCUUCCUUGGCUUGGCUCCCCCUCCAGGCUCAAAGGUGACAAAAUCGCCCAAGGAAGCAUCUUCCCUUCCCAAUGGUGAUGUGGCAGGAGAAGCACAGAGCAACACAGAGGGAACAGAGAAGGCUGAAGAAAGUGGACAACACGAGGCACAAAAAGAAGGCAGUGAAGAUGCGGGCGACCUCACCGGAUCCCCAGAAAAGAAUGAAGAAGAGGGAGAGACAGCAACAGAAGAGAAUAAGACGGAAGAAAUAACUGCGGAGGGAGCAGAAGGGGAAGCGGAGGAAGAGGAAGCUGAGAAAGGAGAAGAGGAGGGGCCAGGAGAAGAAGAAGAAGGAGAAGAGGAAGAAGGAGAAGAGGAAGAAGAUUCUUAGGCCUUUUCAUGCUUUAUUCUUCCACUUGUCCAGGUAGCCACAUCGCUCUGGGGUUGAAAGAAACCCAAGCCACGAAGCACCAUUUCAACUCUCUUCCCACAAACCAAAUUCAACAAAAUGCUUUGGCCUGAAGCUAGCACACGUCUGUCAGUACAUCCAGGGUUCACCGAGGAAUUGUAUGAUCCGACACGGUUAGAUCUCCAUGCAUAUACCUGCUUAAUCAUAUCAACACGAAAGCAAAUGUGAAGAUAGCACAUGCACACCUUCAUGGGCCUGACAUUUGUGGCCUUUGCUUAAUUUUUUGCUCUGCAUGAAUAGACCUUCUAAUACCCUGAAAAAAUUUCAAAAUAUAGAACUUCUCUUUGUGAUGUGACAAAAGUAUUUCUUUGUAUGUGCCUUAUGCUACUUUUCUCAGAAUUAGCUUUGAAAAUGAAGAGAUUUAUAGAGAGCAAUCAUACUAAUAAAGAUGAAUAGCAAAUA